rnacentral:rRNA from 1 species
UACGGAAGGGGGCUAGCGUUGCUCGGAAUCACUGGGCGUAAAGGGUGCGUAGGCGGGUCUUUUAAGUCAGGGGUGAAAUCCUGGAGCUCAACUCCAGAACUGCCUUUGAUACUGAAGAUCUUGAGUUCGGGAGAGGUGAGUGGAACUGCGAGUGUAGAGGUGAAAUUCGUAGAUAUUCGCAAGAACACCAGUGGCGAAGGCGGCUCACUGGCCCGAUACUGACGCUGAGGCACGAAAGCGUGGGGAGCGAACAGG